CUGGGCUUUGUGUCUGGAUGCACGGGGUAUUCCUAACAGAAAGGAACUGGAGGAGGCUGGUAGGAACGUGCUAUCCUCUCCUGUGCGUCUGACUUUCAGAAGGCAGUGAUACCCCCAGCCAGUCCCUAACUGAAGAGAAGAGGAUCUCCCAGUGUGUUUUUGGACAAGAGCUCCCACAGAUGCCUAGAAAUGCCCCUUUUGGCUUUCUGCUUCUCUGGGGCAGGAGCAUGAUGCCAAAGCAGGGUGCUGGUGCUGCCUGACACCAAGGCUUCCCUGGCUAACAGACGAACAGAGCCUUGGAGGCACGGAGACACCAAUCAUUUAGCCACUAAAAAGGGUUGGUUCGGACUAAAGCUGCCAAUCUAAGUCAGCAGAGAGUCAUAGCAGGAUUUCAGACAGCAGGGUUAAAGCUGAGUACGAUGGAGCUCAUGUGGCUGGCUUCAGACAAGGGCUUUGGAGGAAGGUUCUUCAUCUGGCCAUGACAACCAAACCACCAGCAGUAUUCACUUUGGACGAAUCCAAAAUGAACCAAGCUGACCUUCUUUUCGGUUUGAUUAAUGCAAUGAAGCAUUUCAUUAUUUCUAAAUAAUAAGCUGAGCUGUGCUGGGUGCCAGCCUGACCUGCUGCUGCUGCAGCCCCAGCCCAGCUCCCUGAGUUCUCCUGCACCCCAACAUCCGAGCCCCACAGCUCACAGGGUGAUGGCACACUGACGGCGUUGGCCAAAAUGCCCCGGUUGCAGCUUUACGGGAAGAACAAAGUCAGCCUGGGGCAGCCAGAGUGGGGAUGGAGAGCAGAAAGAACCACGGUUGAGUUUUAUUCAAAUUAAUUUAAACUGCUGAAAAGACCGAGGGCCAACGGGGAAGAGAAGAUGAAACAGCUUUGCUUUUGGCCCUCAUUUCACUCCUCUCCCCUUUAAGCCCUCCUCCUAGCAGCGCAUGUCCCCCCUGCCACAGCCAUGGCAUAAGAGCCCAUGGACUGAAAGAAGCAGACGAGCAGCAGCAGAGCAAGCGUGUGAAACCCAAACCAGGCUUCCUUAGGGCCUGAGGCCUCAGGUAUCAUUGGAAAGGAGCAAAAGCUGCUCGUGGUUGUUUCUCGUCUCCCCUAGCAUGGGCUUUUUUAUUGUUUAUAAGGAAAAAUCAGCCCAGCUGGGUGUGCUUUACAAGGAAUGGCCCCCAGGAGGAUUUUAGAUUUUAGACCGUAAGGCAUGGGGAGAACAAAAAAAAUCCUUAAACCAUUCAAAGCUUCGAAGCAAACCAUUUGACAGAGCCUCUGCGAUGGUGGCUGCUGACAGCAGAGGGGGUCCUUGGGCUGUUUUUCCUCCACCUCCGCGGCGGAACCCGACGUCCGUGCUCGGGAAGCGGCUGCAACGAUGGAGCCGCGGAACAGCUGUGCCUGGAACGGGGUCUGCGGGGGCACUUCGGCCCAAAGGCCCUGGCUGGGAGAGGAAGGUCUCACCCUCAUCCUCAGCUGCAACCGAAGCCCAUCUCUGGCCGCAGGUAGCCGCAGUGCUGCUCGGAGCAGAGCGGGGCUCACACCCCGCCCAGUGCCAUCACAUCCCCUGUCCCCUUGAAGACGGCGGCCUCCGUGGCAAGAGGCAGAGCUGGUUAACCGUGCACCUUUUAUAAAUGGCUUUAGCUCCUGGGGGCGGAAGGUGCUCUGUGAGGCUAAAAGAUUAAAAGUAGCCUGGAUUCUUCAUUAAACAUCGGUGAUCAUCGUCACGUUUGCUGUCAGAUGUUUCGGCGUCGCUGUUCCGCUCUGGGAGGGAAGGUAUCUUUAGGCUGCUUUCCUAAGGCGGAGGCCCCGGGGUCACGCAGUCUGUCUGUCUGUCUGUCUGUCCUCACCAACCUGGGAACCUCCCGCCUCGCUCUGGCUGAAGUUUGCACGGCGCUGGGAGCAGUGAGUGUUGGCUGAAGGACAACUUUUACCUCAUCUGCAAAACAGGAUGUUCCAAAACCAGACCUGAUUUUCCGCCGUGAGAACCUCGGGCAAAUAUCAAAGCACCAGGCUCCUGGAGGGGAAACAGAAGGAUCACGGUGGCACAACGUAUGCCUAAAGCCGCCCCGAAGUAGUCUUGCUGCUCCAGAAGCAGGCCUCCAGCGUUGGGUGAGGUCUCACCCUGGAGGUCCACCAUCCCUGGAGGUGCCCAAGGCCAGGUUGGAUGGGCCCUGGGCAGCCUGAGCUGGGGGGGUCAGCCCUGCCCACGGCAG
ensembl:lncRNA